GAACGUGUUUCAUUAUUAUCAAGCAGGUACAAUAGCCGCAAGGCUUAAGAGGUGAAUCAGGAUGAGAAAAAAUCGUAUAAAAGGUGAGAGAAAAGGCCAGAAAUCAGUCGAAUGAUGAUCUCAGACACCGCAACAACUGCUGCAGCGCACUAUUUGUCACAAACUGCCUUCUUCAUCGUGUUACUUGUUCGUAAUCAUGGUUAACUAAGGCGUCGUGCUGCUGUUGGGUAUUGUAUUGUUGAUGGCUGGUUACUGUUCCCCUAGAUAUGUGGUAUAAAGCAACAACGAAGAAAUCAGUCGAGUGAUCAUCUCUUCGACACGUCAACAGCAACUGCAGUGCACUAUUUGUCACCAACUGCCUUCUUCGUAGUACCACCAAUUCGCAAUCAUGGGAAAGUUAACUACGGCGCCGUGCUGCUGUUUGGUGUUGUAUCGUUAGUUUAUGGGUCGACCACGGGUGUACCAAUGUUUCCUGCACAUGGUGGAUGCCAUGAAACAGCAGAGAAAUAAUACUACACCACGCCACCGCCGCCUUACUACACAACAGAGUCAACAUACGCAACAUUUACUUACUACGCCAAGGCCUUUAAGUGCUACACAACCAAGUAUACUGUCCCAGACUACUACACCGAAGUCCCCAAGUACCACACGACUACGAAUGCUGCCCCAGCCUACUACACCGAGGCUCCAGCAUAUUUCAAUACCAAAGCGGUCAAGUACUACACCGAACCGCACAAGUACUACUCUGCCCCGAACUACACAACCACAACUGAAGCGACCAAGUACCACGUAGCCCAGAUAUAACACAGCAGCUGCUCCUUCGUACUACGUUAAACUGAAAUACCUACACCGAGGCACCAGCUUGCUACACCACAACCUACGCUACACCUAGAUGCUAUGACGAAUUUUCCAACUACUACACCGAGGAGGCCACAUAUUAUACAACCAUGUACGUGUGCUUCAGUUUACUACACUGAGGAACCGAAGUAUUACUCCGCUCCAAGCUACUACAAAACUGAGGCUUCUGUUUACUUCACCAAGCCACCGAGUAUUACAACCAAAUGUUAACUAUGGCGUCGUCCUGCUGUGUCUGUGGCGUCUCGUGGGUAUGGUGGAUACCAAACCACAUCGCCGCUGGCUUACUUGCACGACAAAAACAUACGCAACAACCGGAGUACUACACCACGAAGGCAGUGGAGUACUACACCACGAAGGCAGCGGAGUACUACACCACGAAGGCAGCGGAGUACUACACCAC